AGAGUUUGAUCCUGGCUCAGGAUGAACGCCGGCGGUGUGCCUAAUACAUGCAAGUCGUACGCACUGGCCCAACUGAUUGAUGGUGCUUGCACCUGAUUGACAAUGGAUCACCAAUGAGUGGCGGACGGGUGAGUAACACGUAUGUAACCUGCCUCGGAGCGGGGGAUAACAUUUGGAAACACAUGCUAAUACCGCAUAACAACAAAAGCCACAUGGCUUUUGUUUGAAAGAUGGCUUUAGCUAUCACUCUGGGAUGGACCUGCGGUGCAUUAGCUAGUUGGUAAGGUAACUGCUUACCAAGGCAAUGAUGCAUAGCCGAGUUGAGAGACUGAUCGGCCACAAUGGAACUGAGACACGGUCCAUACUCCUACGGGAGGCAGCAGUAGGGAAUCUUCCACAAUGGGCCCAAGCCUGAUGGAGCAACACCGCGUGAGUGAAGAAGGGUUUCGGCUCGUAAAGCUCUGUUGUCUGGAGAAGAACGUGCGUGAGAGUAACUGUUCACGCAGUGACGGUAUCCAACCAGAAAGUCACGGCUAACUACGUGCCAGCAGCCGCGGUAAUACGUAGGUGGCAAGCGUUAUCCGGAUUUAUUGGGCGUAAAGCGAGCGCAGGCGGUUGCUUAGGUCUGAUGUGAAAUCCUUCGGCUUAACCGAAGAAGUGCAUCGGAAACCGGGCGUCUUGAGUGCAGAAGAGGACAGUGGAACUCCAUGUGUAGCGGUGGAAUGCGUAGAUAUAUGGAAGAACACCAGUGGCGAAGGCGGCUGUCUGGUCUGCAACUGACGCUGAGGCUCGAAAGCAUGGGUAGCGAACAGGAUUAGAUACCCUGGUAGUCCAUGCCGUAAACGAUGAGUGCUA
rnacentral:rRNA from 1 species